rnacentral:rRNA from 1 species
GUCUACAGCCAUGCCACCCUGAACAAGCCCAAUUUCCAUCUGAUCUCGGAAGCUAAGCAGGGUCGGGCCUGGUUAGUACUUGGAUGGGAGACCACUUAGGAAGACCAGGUGCUGUAGGCG